GUUAAUAAAAAGUAAGAUCAAGAAGGAAAUUGGAAAAACCUUAUGAGAAGCGGUUAUUUGAAACCAAAUGUUACAAGUUGAAUUGAAGAAGAAGGCCAUGUUAGUUAUUUAGUAGUCAUUUAUAUUUUUUUACAGUCAGUAUAUAUGAGUCAGCAUGUUAGUUAUUUUGUUGAAAACUUGACAGCUGGUUGUCAGUAUAUAUGAGUCAGCAUGUUGGUUAUUUUGUUGAAAAUUUGACAGCUGGUGUAACAAUGAUUACAGAACUAUUACAAAAGGAGGUGGUUACAGGAGGAAAUACAAUUUUACACCCAUUUCCUAUAUUCUAGAAUUUCUUCCUAUCUCUCUUCUUCCUUCUCUCCUUACCUCUAUUUCUGAAAUUUUAGCUACUAGAAAUUUGAGUUUUCACAGAGGAGUUGAGCUAACAGUGGUUCGAUUGAGCAGCAUCAUUCUUGGUAUCAGAGCCUCGGUUCUUGGCAAUGACAGAGGGUAUGACAACUAGGUUACAGAGAGACAUGGGCCAGAUGCAAAAGGAGCUGGAGAGGGUGGAGGCCCAAUUUGACACCUCUAUCAAGCAACUUAAUGAUAAGAUUGAUUCCUUUGCAGAAGAAAUGCGUGGCAUGUUUGAAAAUAUCAUGAACAGCAGGCAAAGCUCACUUCAAGAAGUUGAGAUAGGAGAUUCAACAGCACCAUCAGCUAGGAAACAGAAAUCUGUCGUGGGUGAUGUGGAAGGUAGCAGGGUCAUUAUUCAUAGACCCAUUUUCGCUGAAGCAGAGGAAGUUGCAAGGGUACCAACCAAGUCCUCUAAGUUGGAAUGCCCAAAAUUUGAUGGAGACGAUUUCAGGAGAUGGUUGUUGAAGAUCGAACAAUUUUUUGAAGCUGAUCAAACUCGGGAAAAUGAGAAAGUGAGGACUAUGAUGAUGCAUUUGGAGGGACCAGCUUUACAGUGGCAUCAGAGGUUCAUGAAGAAUCAAGGAAGUCUUCAAGAGGUAAGCUGGCUCACUUAUGUUACUGAGAUGAAGACUAGAUUUGCAGAAACUAAGUUCUUUGAUCCUAUGUUAGAAAUGGUGGUGUUGAAGCAACACAAUACUGUUGAUGAAUUUUAUAAGGAGUUUGAAAGUUUAUUAAAUUUACUCUCCAUUUCUGAUGACAAUGCUCUCAGUAUAUUUUUGGGAAAUUUGAAGCCUGAGAUUUCUAAGCCUGUUAGAAUGUUUUAUCCUAAAUCCUUAAGCCAUGCUUACCAGUUGGCCAAACAGAUGGAGUCCCUAAUAUACAAUGUGCCCAGAAAACCUUAUAUACCUUACAAGAAUCCUAUAACAACUCCUAUAUCCCAUAAUAAUCCUUAUACCUCUAAAACUACAUUACCCCCACUGUUACCAACCCCAAAAAACCCUUUCUUAAAUUACAACCAGCCUACUACAUCAACCGACUCCAUAAAUACCUACAAACCCACAACCAGUAAACCUGAGUCAACUCUAGUAAAAUACAAUGUUAUCAAAAUACCAAACUGGAAGGAAAGAGAUGACAGGAGGAAGAAAGGACUUUGUAUGUGGUGUGGGAUUAAGUUUACACCAGGCCACAGGUGUGUUAAGGCUCAAUUGUACCAGAUGUUUACAGAGGAAAGGGAAGACAAUAAUAAUGAUACUGAGGAGUUUUGUGAUUGUGUAGACAAUCUGGAGGAGAUUGGAGAGGAAGCCCAUGAAUUACAAAACAGGCAUGUCAUCUCUUUACAUGCUUUAAUUGGAGUUGAAGGUCAUACGACCAUGAGAUUAUAUGGUCGAAUACCAAUCAGUAGUGUUCUUGGUUGACUCUGGAAGUACCCAUAAUUUCAUUGAUCAAUUAUUGAUUAAGAAACUGGGAUUUAACAAUCAGAAGAUCGCUAGAAUCAGUGUCACUGUAGCUAAUGGUAACAAAUUAUUAACUCAGGAUGUAUGUAAAGCAUUGACUUGGGAGGUUCAAGGCCUAGUCCAACAUACUGAUUUCUUUAUGCUACCUUUAAUGGGCUGUGAAGCAGUACUUGGGGUGCAAUGGCUCCAGACACUAGGGCCUAUUCUAUGGGAUUUUUCCUUGCUGACCAUGCAAUUUGCUGUAGCAAACAACUGGUAUAAACUACAAGGAAUAGAGGCUGCUCAGGUACAUAUGGCUACAAGUAAGCAAUUUGCUAAGUUGAAGGUGGUUAGUAAGACAAGUGGACUAAUGAUGAUAUCUGGUUUGGAGUUUCUCAGUCUCGAGAUGAGUUACACCAGUUUAGUCAACAAACUGAAUUACCACAUGAUUUGCAGGAAUUGUUACUACGAUACUCUCUAGUCUUAGAGACACCUACAAAUUUACCUCCAUCAAGGCCUCAAGAUUGUAAGAUACCUUUGAUAAAUGAAUCUCAACCUGUAAAGAUUAAGCCUUAUAGGUACCCAAUUGUACAAAAAAAUGAGAUUGAGAAGAUAGUAGCAGAAAUGAAAGAGGCUGGAAUUAUAAGAGAUAGCAACAGUUCAUUCGCAUCUCCAGUGGUUCUAGUGAAAAAGAAAGAUGGCUCGUGGAGGCUUUGUGUGACUACAGGCAGUUGAACAAUAUCACACUUAAAGAUAAGUUUCCCAUUCCUUUAAUAGAAGAGUUGUUAGAUGAAUUAUCUGCUGCUUGCUGGUUCUCUAAGCUGGAUCUCAGAUCUGGUUAUCACCAGAUUCGAAUGGAUCCUGCAGAUAUUCAUAAAACAGCUUUCAGGACUCAUAAGAGAUAGCAACAGUUCAUUCGCAUCUCCAGUGGUUCUAGUGAAAAAGAAAGAUGGCUCGUGGAGGCUUUGUGUGACUACAGGCAGUUGAACAAUAUCACACUUAAAGAUAAGUUUCCCAUUCCUUUAAUAGAAGAGUUGUUAGAUGAAUUAUCUGCUGCUUGCUGGUUCUCUAAGCUGGAUCUCAGAUCUGGUUAUCACCAGAUUCGAAUGGAUCCUGCAGAUAUUCAUAAAACAGCUUUCAGGACUCAUAAGAGAUAGCAACAGUUCAUUCGCAUCUCCAGUGGUUCUAGUGAAAAAGAAAGAUGGCUCAUGGAGGCUUUGUGUGGACUACAGGCAGUUGAACAAGAUCACACUUAAAGAUAAGUUUCCCAUUCCUUUAAUAGAAGAGUUGUUAGAUGAAUUAUCUGCUGCUUGCUGGUUCUCUAAGCUGGAUCUCAGAUCUGGUUAUCACCAGAUUCGAAUGGAUCCUGCAGAUAUUCAUAAAACAGCUUUCAGGACUCACCAAGGGCACUAUGAGUUUCUGGUCAUGCCCUUUGAAUUGACUAGUGCACCUUCUACAUUUCAAAGUUUAAUGAAUAGUGUAUUCCAGCCUUUCCUUAGAAAAUUUGUAUUGGUGUUCUUUGAUGAUAUCAUGGUUUAUUCAUCAAACUGGAAUGAUCAUUUAGCACAUUUGCAGCAGGCAUUUGAUGUAUUAGUCAGCAACCAUUUAUUUGCUAAGCUUUCAAAGUGUGACUUUGGUGCUACUCAAAUUGAGUAUUUGGGGCAUGUGAUCAGUAAGGGGAUAGUUGCUAUGGACAGUACUAAGGUUGAAUGUGUUAAACAGUGGCCAAUGCUUGAGUCUGUUAAAGAAUUAAGAGGAUUCUUGGGCCUCACUGGGUAUUAUCGCAGGUUCAUUAAGGGAUAUGGAACUAUGGCAAAACCAUUGACUGAUUUACUGAAGAAAAAUGCCUUUAAUUGGCAAGAAACAGCAACAAUAGCUUUUGAAAAGCUCAAGCAAGCUGUAAUAUCAGCUCCUGUUCUAGCACUACCAGAUUUCAACUCAACUUUUGUAGUUGAGUCAGAUGCUUCAAGUUGUGGAAUUGGUGCUGCAUUGAGUCAAAAUGGUAGGCCAGUUGCUUAUUUUAGCAAAGCUUUAUCUCCUAAACAUCAGGCACUGUCUAUCUAAGAAAAGGAGAUGUUGGCCAUAUUAGCUGCAGUGAAGAAAUGGAGUGCGUAUUUAACUGGAAGGCAUUUCCAGAUAAAAACAGAUCACCAAAGUCUCAAAUUUUUGCUGGACCAGAAAACAAACAUGCCUGCUCAACAACUUUGGGUUGUCAAGAUGAUGGGAUUUCAUUAUGAACUUGUCUACAGGAAGGGCUCUACCAACAUGGCAGCCGAUGCUCUUUCUCGAAAUCCUGCAGCCUUGUUAUAUGCUUUAUCUUUUGUAGCUAAUGAUAUAAUGGCUAGGAUUAAACAGUCUUGGUUGAAAGAUCCAAUGUUGAUACAUUUGCUACAUAAGCUCAAGAACAACCCAGGACAGUCUCCUAAGUGCACUUGGCAAGCAGGUCAGUUGAGAAGGAAGGGAAAACUUAUGGUGGGAGCUGAUUCAGAGUUAAGGAAGGAUUUAUUGACAUUUUUUCAUGAUUCACUGGAUGGAGGGCAUUCUGGAGUAGAGGCAACUAUGAGGAGAAUAGCUAAUGUGGUAUAUUGGAGAGGAAUGAAAAAAGCAGUUCGGCAGCAUGUCAAAGAAUGCACAAUUUGUCAGAAAUGCAAACAUGAAACUGUCUCUCCAGGUUUGUUACAACCUUUACCAAUUCCUGAUAAGAUAUGGGCUGAUGUGUCUAUGGAUUUUAUAGAAGGUUUGCCUAAGUCAUUUGAGAAAGAUGUUAUAAUGGUGGUAGUGGAUAGGUUAAGUAAAUAUGCCCAUUUUAUCACUCUGGCUCAUCCUUUCACUGCCAUUACAGUUGCUCAAGCCUAUCUAGACAAUGUGUACAAGUUGCAUGGAGUACCUAAUACCAUUGUUUCUGACAGAGAUAGGAUUUUCACUAGUUCAUUUUGGAAGGAAUUGUUCAAAUUAUUGGGAACCAAGCUAAAAAUGUCUACUGCUUAUCACCCUCAAACAGAUGGACAGUCUGAAGUGCUCAACAGAUGUUUGGAGACAUAUCUAAGGUGCAUGACAGGAGAACAACCUAAGCACUGGUCCAAAUGGAUCUCUUUAGCAGAAUGGUGGUAUAGCACUAGUUUUCACACUUCCAUUAAGACUACACCAUAUGAGGCAGUCUAUGGUCAACCUCCUCCCAUUCAUCGACCAUAUCUACCUGGAGAUUCUAAAGUGGAUGAACUGGAUAGAAGUUUGCAAGCGAGAAAGGCCACAAUCAAAAUUUUGAAAUUUCAUUUGGAUAGGGCUUGAAAUAGAAUGAAGCAGCAAGCUGACAGACACAGGGUUGAUAGGCAAUUUGAGAUUGCUGAUUUAGUUUAUGUUAAGCUCCAGCCAUACAGACAACAAUCUGUCGCAAUAGGUCUUGUUUUAAGCUAGCUGCUAGGUACUUUGGCCCUUACAAGGUGUUGGAGAAGAUAGGAGGACCUGUUGCCUACAAACUAGAAUUGCCUGCUGAAGCCAAAAUUCAUCCUGUCUUCCAUAUUUCACAGUUGAAGAAGCACAUUGGGAAGGUUCCAACACAAUCUAAUCUUCCAACGAUUGAUGCAGAUGGAAUGGUGGCCAAGGAACCAGUGGCAGUUCUAGAUAGAAGACUGACUAAGAAAAGAGGUAGAGCAACCUGGGAAGGAUUAUAUGAGCUACAGAAAAAGUUUCCUUGCUUCAAUACUUGAGAACAAGGAUUAUUUCGAGGGGAAGGUAGUUGUUACAAGUUGAAUUGAAGAAGAAGAAGGCCAUGUUAGUCAUUUAGUAGUCAUUUAUAUUUUUUUUACAGUCAGUAUAUAUGAGUCAGCAUGUUAGUUAUUUUGUUAAAAAUUUGACAGCUGGUGUAACAAUGACUACAGAACUAUUACAAAAGGAGGUGGUUACAGGAGGAAAUACAAUUUUACACUCAUUUCCUAUAUUCUAGAAUUUCUUCCUCUCUUCUUCCUUCUCUCCUUACCUCUAUUUCUGAAAUUUUAGCUACUAGAAAUUUGAGUUUUCACAGAGGAGUUGAGCUGACAGUGGUUCGAUUGAGCAAAAUCACCAAAAAAGAAAAAAAUAAAAACCUC
rnacentral:lncRNA from 1 species